AGAGUUUGAUCAUGGCUCAGGACGAACGCUGGCGGCGUGCUUAAUACAUGCAAGUCGAGCGAGGUUACUGUUUUGGAUCCCUUCGGGGUGAAGAAGCUUUAACCUAGCGGCGGACGGGUGAGUAACGCGUGGGUAACCUACCCCAAAGUCCGGGAUAACAGCGGGAAACCGCUGCUAAUACCGGAUGCCUUUACCUUGGGGCAUCUUGAGGUAAAGAAAGGUAACGCUUUGGGAUGGGCCCGCGUCCCAUUAGCUAGUUGGUGAGGUAACGGCUCACCAAGGCGACGAUGGGUAGCCGGCCUGAGAGGGUGGACGGCCACACUGGGACUGAGACACGGCCCAGACUCCUACGGGAGGCAGCAGUAGGGAAUAUUGCGCAAUGGACGGAAGUCUGACGCAGCGACGCCGCGUGAGCGAUGAAGGUCUUCGGAUCGUAAAGCUCUGUCCUUGGGGAAGAAGGCGAAAGCUUGACGGUACCCAAGAAGAAAGCCCCGGCUAACUACGUGCCAGCAGCCGCGGUAAUACGUAGGGGGCGAGCGUUGUCCGGAAUUACUGGGCGUAAAGGGUGCGUAGGCGGCCCUUUAAGUCGGAUGUGAAAGCCCGCGGCUUAACCGCGGAAUGGCAUUCGAAACUGGAGGGCUUGAGUGUCGGAGAGGGUAGUGGAAUUCCCAGUGUAGCGGUGAAAUGCGUAGAUAUUGGGAGGAACACCAGUGGCGAAGGCGACUACCUGGACGAUAACUGACGCUGANGCACGAAAGCUAGGGGAGCAAACAGGAUUAGAUACCCUGGUAGUCCUAGCCGUAAACGAUGGGUACUAGGUGUGGGUGGUUUCNAUACCAUCCGUGCCGUAGUUAACGCAUUAAGUACCCCGCCUGGGGAGUACGUGCGCAAGCAUGAAACUCAAUGAAUUGACGG
rnacentral:rRNA from 1 species